AAACACAAUCACGUUCUUAAAUGGAAAUGUGGGGCUUUAAACAAAUCUUACAUCUCUCCUGUUUCAGUCGUCUAAAACUCCGCAAUCAGGAACACGGUCGACUCCAUCUAAAACCAAAGCUUUUUAAGAAGAUUUUUUCGGCUUUUGAGAGGAAAUGUGCUGUUACACUUGGAGAAUUCAGGCGUCAGAUCAAACCGCUUCUCUGUGUGGGCGGCAUGUGUGCUUAGACAGCAGGAUGUUAAGAGAACAGGUGUGGUGCCCGUAGGUCCUUUUUUAACAUAUGUACACAGGAGGAGUUGGUGGGACUUCAGCGUGGAGGACAGAGAGAGUUCAGAGGAAACCAGCGUAGGAGGAUUCAUACUUUGAUGACACUUCAAAAACUGUGUGGCAAGACUAAGCUAUCGGCCCUAUCUAAAAAGUGACUAACGCAUGCGAGCCCUUUUUGAAAAUCCCUUGCGAUAACAAAACACAGCACAAAACAAUGCCUUCUAGUUCUUCGACCAAUAAAAAUAGGAAUUAGGCAGCCUGUAGUGAUCUCAUUAGCUCGGCAAUUAACAACGGUUCAAUACACUGGACAAAUUCACUGCAGUUAGACUUUAGAUCAAUGUGACUGAUCAUUAUCAAGCUCAGUGGCAAUGGGUUUACAUUCUUCUCCUCUUCUAUCCCAGAACUGUUAGGCGGAAAAUGGGACGAUGCAUCCUCCAACUUCCAUGACCUCCUCAGACAGAAAUAAAUGGGUAUGAGGGCUGAAGUGGUAUGGAGGGGGUUUGUCCUACUAGUUGCGCCAACCCAAGCUUUGUCAUCAAUCUCUUGAAUUUCACAAACCUUCCAGAGACUCAAUCCACGGGCACUGGUGAUACACCCUCCAACUCAAGCCCAGCCUCUCCUCUUUGGGCCAACCUCUCCGGAAACCCUCUGGUCCCUUUAUGACAAAUGGGUUUUAAUAACGGCGGACCAAGUGAUGAAAUUAAAAGUGCGUCCCUUGGCCUCAGAUUGCUCUUGCUGCUCAUUUCGUAGGCUUUGUGUCACAUCACCAUUGAUGUAUGAUUAUUUGACUGAUCACCCAUAGACCCCGUUGUUGAUGUUCUGAUAGACAUCCAAAGAGAUGCAUAACGCAUUUUGUAACCUAAUA